GCUCCUUAUACCCUGAGAAUGCCAAACAACUCAGUUUCAAAAGUCAGGGAGGCCAUAUGCACCGCAAAAAAAAUGAGUGAAAAAAACUAAAAAAAUUCUUCUUUUUCUUCUUCCUUCUUCUCCUCUAUUCUCUCCUAUCCACCGCAAAAAAAAAAAAAAAAUCUUUCUCCAUCGCGUCUCUUUUCUUCUCCGUUCCUUAUUUUUAAAGUUCUUUUUGAGAAGGAAGACUACUGCAGGUGAAGGCUUAUCAGUUCUAACGUGAUUUAGGGUUUAUUCCUUUUUUUUUUUGGAUGUAAAGGUUUGAUUUGCCGUGUUAUGAUUUUUACUGAAAGCUAUACGUGAUUUAGGGUUUGUGGACAAUAAGAUCAUAUAAUCUUUUGGUAAAACCUUACUCUAUUCUCCAUUGAUCGGUUUCUUAGAGUUUGGCUAACUUUUACACUGCUCUCAUUUUUAGCUAACGGGUCUUCUUAGAUUUGUUUCUACUAGGUUAAGGGUUACCUUAAAUAUGGGUAUGUUUGAUUUUUAGCAUAAUCAUGAUAUAUGUUGUUAUUUUAUUUUUGGGUUCUCUGAAAUAGUUUCACCUGCCUCUCUAUCUUCUGUCCCUCCCGUUUCUUCUUUGUUAAUAGCUUAUUUUUCUCAAGUUAAUAAAGUUUUUGUCUAUUGUUUAUUUGUUUUGAUCUAUUUUGCAGGUACGAUUUUACUGAAACGGAUAGUUUGGAUCUAUUCUGCAGGUACGAAUUUUAUUGAAACAGAUACACCACAAAAUCCCAUUCUCUUUUGGUUGGCAAGGAAAGGCAAGGCUUUUAAAGACCUGGAAGUAUGGAAACCUUAAAACCAAUGAGCUACAUGGAAUGAAUAUGAAUGAACUUAAUGGAUGAUAAAAGGGAUAGACCUGAAGGUAACUUUGUGCGAAAAUGGAGCAAAUCAGUAGAGUGGGAGGUGACAAACGAACAUGGAAGCGCGCCGAUAAUUGUUAUAAUCACUGCAACGUUCGUGAAAGAGGUUCAAGGUGCUCAGAAAGAAAGGGGAUAUGGUCAUACAGAUGCCAUGACUUAUGCCUUGCUUGAGGUUUAUAACACAAGUUUGUCGUUGACAUAUAUGGAAUGCUUCAAUGGAAGGUUGAACCUUUGAUAUCUGCAGCAAAACCUACUUCAGCAAUAGUUCUUUGCUUCAACUGAAAGGCUGAAGGUUGUUAGACAAAUGAUAAUGACUGGAGCGCUGGAACACAGAAAAGUUGCAUAGGACUUGCAUUUUCCCUACCAGCUAUCUAACUUAAAUGGGAUCUUCAUAUCUUAAAAGUCUAUUGCUGUUACAUAAAAUUCUUAAAAGUUUGUCUGUUACUUAGAAAUAUGAAGUCCUAGAUCUGCCAAAUCUAUUGCUGGACUGAAAAUUUUUCUCAUGUAAUGCAGGAAGCAUUUUGGAGGGUGUAUGAAUGGAAGUUCAUGAAUUGCCUUGAAUUUUGAACAAGUGUUGUCUGUGCAUACAGUUCUAAACCUGACUUCCGGCCCUUGGCUUAUCUCUUUGCUCAAUCACGUUGCUGCUUCUUUGGGUACUUUCAUUCCUGAAUUUUUACUGACGAUGAACAACCAUCCAGAUUAAAGCGUAUUACGGAUUCUUGUGAUGAUGUCCAUGCGGUUUCUGGAAUUGGUGCGCAGUUACUCAUUAAGAAAUUAAUGCACACACUAUGAAAUUUGAAUAACACAUUAGUAGUUUGUUCUUUUCCCUGUUUUUAUAACUACUGUGGUAGUUCAAUUAGUUAGGACAGCGAAUACGUUAGGAUUCCAUGUUUAUUAAUGCUUGCACUGUGAAGUGCAACUAUCAUUCAUCUAUUGCAGUCCAAUUAUUCUGUCAUUUCUACAAUGUUAUGCAUUGUUCACCUAUUGAAUAGGCUCUACAUAUCUGUUGAGUUCUUUAAAUACGAAUUGAAAUAGGCUCUACAUCAUAA